AACGCACCUUGCGCUCCUUGGUAUUCCGAGGAGCAUGCCUGUUUGAGUGUCAUUAAUAUAUAUCAACCCUUCACUUGUUGAAUGGCUUGGAUGUGGGGGUUUGCUGGUCUCUUACAUAGGGUUCAGCUCUCCUGAAAUGCAUUAGCAGAACAAACCUGUUCAUUGGUGUGAUAACUAUCUACGCUUUUGAAUGUAAAGGGGACAGUUCAGCUUUCUAACCGUCUUUGGACAAUCUAUCAUUUAUGUGACCUCAAAUCAGGUAGGACUACCCGCUGAACUUAA
rnacentral:misc_RNA from 1 species